rnacentral:rRNA from 1 species
AGUGAACGCUGGCGGUAGGCCUAACACAUGCAAGUCGAACGGCAGCACAGUAAGAGCUUGCUCUUACGGGUGGCGAGUGGCGGACGGGUGAGGAAUACAUCGGAAUCUACUUUUUCGUGGGGGAUAACGUAGGGAAACUUACGCUAAUACAGCAUACGACCUACGGGUGAAAGCAGGGGAUCUUCGGACCUUGCGCGAUUGAAUGAGCCGAUGUCGGAUUAGCUAGUUGGCGGGGUAAAGGCCCACCAAGGCGACGAUCCGUAGCUGGUCUGAGAGGAUGAUCAGCCACACUGGAACUGAGACACGGUCCAGACUCCUACGGGAGGCAGCAGUGGGGAAUAUUGGGCAAUGGGCGAAAGCCUGAUCCAGCCAUACCGCGUGAGUGAUGAAGGCCUUCGGGUUGUAAAGCCCUUUUGUUGGGAAAGAAAAGCAGCAGGUUAAUACCCGGCUGUUCUGACGGUACCCAAAGAAUAAGCACCGGCUAACUUCGUG